rnacentral:lncRNA from 1 species
CAGCUCUCUGGUGUGAAGGAGAAAGAAAAACCAAGAACGCAUUCAGCUCUGCAGCACCGCCCACCAACAAACCGGCCACUAACAAAAACACCCACCGGCAGCACCACCACCAUACACCACCGACACCUCAGCAAUACCAGUCCACCAAGAAGGCGGCCAGCACCACCAACAAAUACCCUUUAUCAAAGUGCUUAAAUCCUACCAACAGGGUUUAGUAUCAAUGGAAAUUGAUCUGUCAGAAGCAGAACCUGAGAUCAUUAAUGACGGUUUCACGGCCAAGAAAUCAAAGCAGCGUAAGAGGAAGAGUUUCAUGGUGGAAGAGGAAGGGCAAAUGGGGUCGCGAGAGAAGCUGGCAAAAAAAAUCUUGUUGUCUCUUACUCGGCCUUCCUACGUCUUGGGAUUGGGUCCCAAACCUCUGAGGAAGGAACACCGUAUGAGGUUGCGCUAUCUGCUGCGCAGACUCGUCAACCAGCAUCAGUGGGUCGAAGCCAGUGGUGUUCUCAGUGUCUAUAUGAAGGGCACACUUAAUGAGACCUCGCCCCUCAGAAAUCGUCUUAAAUUUUG